CACUACGAAGCUAAUUAGCAUUAACCUUUUAAGUUAAAGAUUGAAAGCCCCGACCUUUCCGCAGUGA
rnacentral:tRNA from 1 species